GCUUUCAUUGGUGUAAGCAGCGGGUUAAAAAUAGGAAGAGAGAGGGAAUCGACCCGGGAAGGAUAAGGGUGCAAUCUGGUUAACCCUCCCAGGGAAGGAGAGAUUUUUCCUCUAGGCUGAGGCCACGGAACCGGUGGGCCGGAGACAUGGAUUUGAUACCCAUUUAUUGCCGACGCAAACUUUGCUGUGGGCAGCUGCUUGAGUACUACGAGCGUGUGCUUAAAACUCAAAGAACUUGGCGGCUAGUUAACUACCCAGGGGAAUAUGCGCCUUAAUCCGAUGAUCCCCGUAUUAUCUUACUGUACCUUGAAAAUAUUCAGCUGGUGUAUUGCCGUAGUCAGCCUGUUGUGCGAGCAAGGAGAAACAGGCCCAAUGGACUUUCUGGUCAAUUAAGUUUUGGCAGGCCCCAUUAAUUCAGGUCGAAAUGCUGCCUAAGGUACAAGGGAGUGGGUGUUACAAUUUUGAUUUUUAAUACGGAUCUUAGAAUAGUGAAAUCUCUAAGUGAAGGUGAACUUGGGAGUAAGGGGAGAUUAAUAUGCUUCCCUGAACAUGAGGCUAACUUGUGUACAAACCGCCCGUCGCUCUCGCCUGAAGGGGAGAUAAGUCGUAACAAGGUAGGGGUA
rnacentral:rRNA from 1 species